GACGAACGCUGGCGGCGUGCUUAACACAUGCAAGUCGAACGGAAAGGCCCCUUUGGGGGUACUCGAGUGGCGAACGGGUGAGUAACACGUGAGUAACCUGCCCUUGACUUCGGGAUAACUUCAGGAAACUGGGGCUAAUACCGGAUAGGAAUCCUUGCUGCAUGGUGGGGGUUGGAAAGCUUCGGCGGUUUUGGAUGGACUCGCGGCUUAUCAGCUUGUUGGUGGGGUAGUGGCUUACCAAGGCUUUGACGGGUAGCCGGCCUGAGAGGGCGACCGGCCACAUUGGGACUGAGAUACGGCCCAGACUCCUACGGGAGGCAGCAGUGGGGAAUAUUGCACAAUGGGCGGAAGCCUGAUGCAGCAACGCCGCGUGCGGGAUGACGGCCUUCGGGUUGUAAACCGCUUUCAGCAGGGGCGAAGCUUGUGGUGGCGGUACCUGCAGAAGAAGCACCGGCUAACUACGUG
rnacentral:rRNA from 1 species